rnacentral:rRNA from 1 species
AGUGAACGCUGGCGGUAGGCCUAACACAUGCAAGUCGAACGGCCGCACAGUAAGAUCUUGCUCUUACGGGUGGCGAGUGGCGGACGGGUGAGGAAUACAUCGGAAUCUACUUUUUCGUGGGGGAUAACGUAGGGAAACUUAUGCUAAUACCGCAUACGACCUACGGGUGAAAGCAGGGGAUCUUCGGACCUUGCGCGAUUGAAUGAGCCGAUUCCGGGUUAGCUAGUUGGCGGGGUAAAGGCCCACCAAGGCGACGAUCCGUAGCCGGUCUGAGAGGAUGAUCAGCCACACUGGAACUGAGACACGGUCCAGACUCCUACGGGAGGCAGCAGUGGGGAAUAUUGGACAAUGGGCGCAAGCCUGAUCCAGCCAUACCGCGUGGGUGAAGAAGGCCUUCGGGUUGUAAAGCCCUUUUGUUGGGAAAGAAAAGCAGCAGGUUAAUACGCCGCUGUUCUGACGGUACCCAAAGAAUAAGCACCGGCUAACUUCGUG